GGGACCUGACUAUCUCUCUAACUUUUUUUUUUUUUUCAUCUAACUCUCUCUAUUCAUUUUCUUCUCCAAAGAGAAGAAGACACACACAAGCCACCGCACCUCCACCGCGUCUUCUCUCUUCCUCACUGCGCCACCACCUCUCCUCCUUCUUGCUGAGCAGCACAACGCCACCAGCUGCACGAGCUGCCACCAACAGAAGCAACCACGAGCAGCUCCGAUCGGCAGCAACGCCUCCGACGACGAGCAACCAGUUCCACCAAAAAUCCCUCCGUCGUCCUCGUCUCCAACACAGCGAGCAACGAGGCUAACAACAGUCAAACGAUUCUUCAAGGUUUGAUAUUUGGGCAUAUAUAUUUUGGAUCUAAUCGUUUCAAAAAAAACCCGGAUCUACAAGAUCCGUCCCAGGUACGUUCUUGUGAUACUCACUUGCUCUAUAAGAGUUUAUUCAAUGUGUUGUUUUCUAUUGAAACGAGCUUUUAGAUUUGAAAUGGGUACUAGUAUGAUUCAACUAUAAUUUAGCUUAACUUGUUAUUGUUUUCCUGUAAGUUGAGUUGAUGCCAUGUAUGACUUUAACUUCUAUAUUUUGUCCUCUAUCAUCAUAUUAAGAUAUUUGAUGGGUUAACUAUGAAGAAUUUUAUUAUGACUUUGUAUCUUUGAUUAUUAUUCCGUCACUUCUAUUUUUUUAUAUAUUUUAUUUCUCUUCCAAAUGAGUUUUUCCGAUUUGAGAUCCACAUGCUUCUUUAGUAUAUGAUGGUUUAAAGUUUCAUUUUUUUUGUUUAUAAAUUAUUAUGGAUUGUGCAUCGUUGAAAAUUAUUUGAGUUUAAGCAUAUGUGUUGAUGAAUAUUUAUUUAUUUUUUACAUGUGUGCAAUGGUAUGUAGUUUGCUGUUAGUGAAUUUGUGUGUGUGUUUGGUGGUUUUACUUUUUGUAAAAAUUAUUUGGUUUAUGUACGUAUUGGUGUGCACAUGGUUGUCAAGUUGUGUGUUGUAUAAAAUAUUAUAUGAUGUGAUUGUGUACUUUUGUUAGAAUAUUGUUUUUUUUUGUUAUUAUUAUAUAUUGUGGAAGAUGAAUAAAGUGGUUGAUGUUUGUUGUAUUAUGGCAGUUAGUUUGUAUUUUGUAUUGAUAUGUCUAUUUUGAUAAGACAUGCCAUGUGUGUGAUGUGUGGGCAUUUUUUUUUUCAUGAUAUUAAUUGUUCAUAUUAUUAUUUGUAUGUACUACAUUUAAUGGUAGUUUUAUUUAUCAGUAUUUUUACAUAUGUUGUAUGAUGGUUAUAUGUUUGUUAUAUGGAGGAUUGUAUAUUAUGAGCGUGUGUAUUAAUUGCUAACAUAUAACAACUGUGUCGGCAUUUAUAAAUUUAGUACGAUUGAUCUUGCUGCUUUAUUUGGAUUAAAAUAGAUUGGUACUCCACUAUUUAAGGUUUGUUAAUUAAUUUACCGUAUUUAAUUUGGGCAUAGUUUAAUCUUUGACUUUUUGAAACAUCUUUUUGAAUGAAUUUUGUAUCAAAUCUAAAAAGAAGAUUUGGUUUUGAUUUGGUGGAGAGAAUUUUGAAAAUCUUGUUUAUCUUUUUGAAAUGGAAUACACCCGCUUGACUUAUUGGUCAAAAGUUGAAAUUUUAAAUUGGCUAAUGGGUUUUGUUGACUUCAUGAUCUUUUACCCAUUGGUAUCACUAUAAGAGGACACAGACAGAGACAAAGGAAAAAAAAACAAGAGAAAAGGAAGAACACGACCUAAUUUCACUUUCUCUUUUAAUACCUCAUAUUCAUUAAAAUACAAGGAAGUUGUUAACAAAAUACUUAUUGUUUUGAGUUCUUUCUUUUUCCUUUUUGCUACUUCGACUUGUUUGGAUCUCGGAUAUUGCUACCGCUUUUCGUUGACAUAAAACUCAUAUUAACUGGUUCUUACAUAUUAUAUCUUGUCAAAAUAAAUACAUGAAGUAUCCAGGUUAGUUCCCACUUUCUUUGAUAUAUUGGUUUAUUAUUUUAAAAUGUGUUCUUGUUCUAUUUGUUUGCUUUGUUGUAGCAAAAUUAUAUAAUCAUGAUAUACCUCUAUAUAUAUAUUUGUAUAUUGGUUAUGUUUUCUUUAUGAUUUAGCAGGGUUUGAACUUCAAAGUUCAAGACACAAGGAGCUGCGAACGAAAGUUUAAGAUGUCAUUAUUUCGUUUACAUUUCGUAUUAUUUAUUCAUUUACCUUUUAUUUUAGUUUGUAAUAAUCUUGUAAAAACUAUCCUUUACAUAAUAAUAAACAUUUGGAGACUGUCUAAAGGGGUUUGGGUAGAUAGGCCCUUCGGAAAUGAUGAAAAUCGACCCGAGCAGAAAAAUGACAAACUUUAUAUAUUUUGUCUUUCGAUUAAUAAGCCGGCGCUGAUCCGAAGAUGAUAAGAAUGUAGAUAUUUUUAUGUCCUUUCGACUUUUAAAUAUUUUUGUUUGUAUAUAUUUGGGUAGUUUAAUAUUUUUAAAAUUUAAUGAUUUUUUAGGCAUCACUAAUCUUAUUAGAAGUUUUCACCCAAAUUAUAUUUAUGACACAUUACUUAUUCAUACAU